AUUGGAUAACCCGAUACAACUCAAAUUACCUACCCAUUUAACCCAGCAAACGCAGAAUCAUUUUCCGGUGAAAUCUUCCCCACAAAGCUCUAGUAUCCUCCUUUCUCCCAUAUCUCUUCAUCCUCCUCACUUCCUCCCUUCACCUGCCCUGCUGAUAACCACAGUUACAGGAGAAAGAUUUGAUCAUCUAAUUAACAUGGCAGAAGGUGGCCUGCCGGAGCGACAGACGCAACUGGUCCCAUCGGAUCAUGGUGCCUGUAUCUUCACAAAUGAUAUCAUCAUCGAGAUACCGUCAUGGGUUCCAGGGAAAUCCUUACUACGAUUUCGGCGUGUAUGCAAGUCAUGGCGUACCUUAAUCUCAGAUCCUUAUUUUGUCAGAAAGCAGCUCAGCCAUACAGUUAGACGCAUCAUCAACAACAACAACGACAACUUGAGGCUACUAACGUUUACAAGUACAAGGCAUCUCAGGUCCAUAGACUAUGAAUCUUUAUUGACAUUAUUAGCGAAGAACAAGCACGAAAAUGUUAGUCGUGUAGUUGUUCCACGCUGCAGAAAGCACAAAUUACUACUGGUAGAGCCUCAAAGAAGAUUCGUGCAGAUUAUGGGUUCUAGCAAUGGCUUGAUGUCAACAGAUAAACUGCUUGGACGUUGUCUUGUGGAACCCUUGUACUGGAAAUGCCAACAAGUUACCAAAACCUACUUCUUCAGUUCUUCCCUCAUUUUAUGGGUUCGGUUAUGAUUCUGCGACUGAUGAUUACAAGGUCAUUUGCAAAAAUCUAACUCCUAAUCGUCAAUAUGAAAUUUUUCUUGAAGAUGGGUUCAUGGAGGACUGUUGAAGGCCUCAAUCAUGUUGAAUUGAUUGGACGGGGUUUGUUGUUGAACGGGGCCCUACAUUGGCUAGACAGGAAACGCGGUGAAGGUAGCCAAAUAGAUUCAAAAUUAAGAAUCAUAUCUUUCGAUUUGGCUCAGGAAAACUUUCAGGAGCUAGUGCGCUUACCCAUUGUCAUUGAAGAACAAUCGAUGAUUUGGGCGGAUGUGUUGGAAGUUCAAAUCAAAUACAGUGGCCGAAAUUGGUGGAACACUUUUCAGAAAUUGGUGGAACACUUUUCAGCUAGCAUGUUGUUUUUUUAACAGCUAUACUUGUUUUUUAUUUGAUAGCCUUUUGUGUGUGUCUAAAGUAGCCAAAAGUGUUAAACGGUGUGAAGAAUUUUGUACACCUUUUCUUUUUUGUUUUGCAUGCUUUAUGUUGUCUUGUAAAAUCUCUAUAAUAGAGACAGGUGUGUGUCCGUGUAAUAAGAUCAUCAGAAUCUCAUUUCCAUUUCAGCUUGUAAUCAAUUGAGUUUGUAAACUCUUAUUAAAUAUAUCAAGGUGUUUUGCUU